GCUCCCGUGGCCCAAUGGUCAAGGCGUCUGCUUCCUACUUUGUUGGGUUCCAGCAGAAGAUUGUGAGUUCGAUCCUCACCGGGAGCU